GGUUUCUCUGUGUAGCCCUGGCUGUCCUGGAACUCACUCUGUAGACCAGGCUGGCCUUGAACUCAGAAAUCCAACUGCCUCUGCCUCCCGAGUGCUGGGAUUAAAGGUGUGCGCCACCAUGCCCG
rnacentral:miRNA from 1 species